AAGGAUUUAAGUUAAAGAAACUAUUAACCUUCAAAGUUAAAAAUAAAUUUUUAUUUAAGCCUUA
rnacentral:tRNA from 1 species